rnacentral:lncRNA from 1 species
GGAACCGAGAGAGGAAAGGAGGAAUCAGCGGCUGAUUCCAGUCAAAGGGAGAGAGAGGCGAGAUUGUUCGGUCAAAGGGAGGAAAUAUUAGGUAUAGGGUUUGAUGAAUAUCCAUCAAACCCUCCCAUUUUUGCCUUCUCUCAAUUUCAGUCCCCUAUUUUUCGAAAAUUGCAAAAGAAACCCCAUUUUUUUGAGUCUAGUCCCUCAAGUUUAGGGAAAUCCCAGAAUGAACCCCAUGUUAUUCAAAACAGCCCCACAGUUAUGCAAAAGUCUAAUUUUGACCCUAAACUUUGUGAAAAUUCGAAAAAAACCCCUACUGCAUGUCAAGUCUCAAAUAAACAAAUCAGUAGGAACAAAAAUUGGAUUUUUGAUUGUGGGGCUACAGACACUAUGACUUUUGAUAAAUCAGAUAUACUUGAGUCAUCAAAAUCCUUUAGAACUCAUGUGCAAACUGCUAAUGGUGACUUAACUCAAGUAGAAGGGGCCGGAAAUAUAGAAAUUACCCCAACCUUGCGAUUAUCCAAUUGUCUAUAUGUUCCGUCCCUAUCUCAUAAGUUGUUGUCAAUUAGUCAUGUUACCAAAGAACUCAAUUGUACCAUGCUAAUGCAUCCUCACUUCUGUUUUCUUCAGGAUAUCAGGACGGGGGAGAUUAUUGGGCGUGGCACUGAGAAAAAUGGACUGUACUAUGUGGAUGAGAUUGCUCAAAAAGGCAAUGUGAUGCUGGCUCACGGAACUGCAAACCGGGAAGCUUGGCUUUGGCAUCGUCGGUUAGGACAUCCUUCCACGGGAUACCUUAAACUUUUAUUUCCAAAAUUACUCCAAAGUGAUACUCUUUCUUGUGAGACUUGUAUCUUAGCUAAAAGCCAUAGACAAUCUUUCAAAUCAAAUGAUACACAAGUGAACUCUAUGUUUUCUUUAGUUCAUUCUGACGUUUGGGGUCCUUCGCCCGUGAUAGGGGGACAAGGUUUUAAAUAUUUUUUGUUAUUUAUUGAUGAUUGCACUAGGAUGACAUGGGUAUAUUUUUUAAAACACAAAUCUGAAGUUUUUGAAAAAUUUACUCAUUUCCAUACUAUGGCUCAAACUCAGUUUCAGAAAAACAUACAAACCCUUAGAACCGACAAUGGGGGGGAAUUUGUUAAUAAUUCCAUGAAAAUAUUUUGUCAAACAAAAGGGAUUAUUCAUCAAACUACUUGCCCCCACACUCCUGAACAAAACGGAGUUGCCGAAAGAAAAAACCGAAUUUUACUUGAAAUGACUCGUUCUAUGAUGAUUGAGUCUCAUGUUCCCUCCUCGUUUUGGCCCGAGGCUGUGGCAACCUCGGUUUACCUUGUCAACCGUCUCCCUACUAGGACUCUUAAACUUAAAACCCCAUUACAGAAAUUGUCUACCCUGGCUUCCAUACCUAUUGCCCUUACACUUCAACCACGGGUCUUUGGGUGCUCUGUUUUCGUUCACAUUCCUAAACAUGAACGCACCAAACUCUCUCCUUGUGCAGUCAAGUGUGUGUUUGUAGGAUAUGGGGUUAAUCAAAAAGGAUAUAGGUGUUACAAUUCCAAAACCCGUCAAAUUAUCACCACCAUGAACUGUGAUUUCCUUGAAACUGAGUAUUUUUACAAUAACCACCUUACCAGUCAGGGGGAGAGUGAGAGUGAGAUUGACUUGUUAAGUUGGUUACCAAUGCCAAACAGCCCGGAAGCAGAUCCAACAGAAAAAGUUAACCUUGCCACAGAGCAAACUCCAUCCACUACUGUACAAAGUCCGCCUCCUCAGCCAAUAUCUCCUCCGCCGCUGGUAUCUGAGGUAAACACCCCUGAACUUACCACUGAGAUUUAUGGUUUCACUGAUCAUAUGUCUCAAGAUGUUGAAAGGAAUCAGGGAGAGAAUCAAUGCCUUGUUGAAAGGGAUCAUGAGGAGAAUACAGCAAAUGAAGGUACAAAGGGAUAUGUUCUACCACCCAGGAGUACUCGGGGUAUCCCUCCCAAACGGUAUACCCCGGAAAAGUUUGGGAAGAAUUCUCGGUACGCAAUUGGGAAUGUAGCAAAAGGAAACAUAUCCAAAACCGCCGCAGCUUAUGAGGCGGCCCUGUAUGAUGAAGAAAUACCACAAACAGCAGAACAGGCUCUGAAAAGUGAACACUGGAGAGAUGCCAUGAAGAAAGAAAUAAGUGCACUGAAUCGAAACCAUACAUGGGAGAAGUGUAGACUACCAAAAGGGAAGAAAACUGUAGGAUGCAGAUGGGUCUUCACAAUCAAAAGGAGACCGGAUGGAUCUAUUGAGCGUUACAAAGCUCGAUUGGUCGCAAAAGGAUACACACAGAUGUAUGGAAUCGACUAUGAGGAGACCUUCUCACCUGUUGCAAAGAUGAACACUGUCAGAGUGCUCCUCUCAAUUGCUGCUAAUAAGGACUGGGAUCUUCAUCAGUUCGAUGUUACAAAUGCUUUCCUACAUGGAGAGCUUGAAGAAGAGAGAGAAGUCUACAUGGAGGUGCCUCAAGGCUUUUCAGGAGAUUUUGGAGAGGGUGAAGUUUGCAAGUUGAAGAAAACCUUAUAUGGGCUCAAGCAGUCUCCCAGAGCUUGGUUUGGAAGAUUCACCGCAGCCAUGAAGAAGUUUGGGUACCAGCAAAGCAACUCAGAUCACACCUUAUUCUUAAAGAAACGAGGUGAUCUAAUCUCUUGUUUGGUCAUUUAUGUUGAUGACAUGAUUAUAACAGGGGAUGACACAGAGGAGAUUCAAAAGUUGAAAGAAAGCUUGUUCAAAGAGUUCGAAAUGAAGGACUUAGGAAAACUAAAAUACUUCCUCGGAAUUGAAGUUCUCAGAUCAAAGAAGGGGAUCUUCAUCAACCAGAAGAAGUAUACUCUAGAUCUCCUAGCUGAAACUGGGAUGCUAGAUUGCAAGCCAGCAGAAACUCCUAUUAUCGUAAAUCAUGGGCUACAAAUUGUGGAAGGAGCUCAGUUAGCCGAUCGAGGACAAUAUCAGCGUCUGGUAGGGAAACUUAUCUAUCUUUCCCAUACUCGACCUGACAUUGCUUAUGCUGUUGGUGUUGUUAGUCAAUUCAUGCACCAACCACAGGCUGACCACAUGGAAGCUGCGCUCAGAAUUGUAAGAUACUUGAAGAAGACUUUUGACUAUGGAAUAUUGUUCAAAAAGAUUGGACACCUUGAGAUACAAGCUUACACCGAUGCUGACUGGGCAGGAAAUCCGAAUGACAGAAAGUCAACAGCUGGAUACUUUGCAUCUGUGGGAGGAAAUCUUGUCUCAUGGAGAAGCAAGAAACAAAAGGUGGUUGCACUCUCAAGUGCAGAAUCAGAAUUCAGAGGAAUCAAGAGUGGGUUAACCGAAGUCCUUUGGCUAAGAAGAUUGUUGAUGGAAUUAGGCCUUCACCCAACAAAGACGUGCCAAAUGUACUGCGACAACAAGGCUGCCAUCAGCAUAUCUGAGAACCCAGUUCAACAUGAUAGAACUAAACAUGUCGAAGUGGAUAGGCACUUUAUCAAGGAAAAGAUUGAGGAAAAGAUUGUGGAGCUCCCGUUUGUGAGGUCCGAAGAUCAGCUCGCUGAUAUCCUAACCAAAGCUGUAGACUUCAAAAGUUUUUCAGAAGUUCUUUCCAAGUUGAGUAUCGGAAAUCCCGUCACUCAACUUGAGGGGGAGUGUUGAGAAUAAAAAGUUAGAAAGGCAGUAUAGUUAGUCAGAAGAAAGCAGUAGCCAACUUUAGUCAAAAAUGAUCAAGAAUCCUUAAUUGUAGGGAUCCUCAUGAUGUUGUAGGGAUCCUCAUGAUGUUGUAGAAGUAAUAUUGAAUAUCAGCUCCCUUCUUAAUACUAUAAAAGGGAUGAUUGUAUCAGCAGGAAACAACAAGAAAUACAAGAACAAUAUUACAAGAAACAAAUUCUCUCUUCUAUGAUGAUAACAUGUUUUUUAACAAGUGAAAUACUUUGUUUUUGUAUAACAUUAAACAAUGUCAUUUUCUUCUUCUUUCAUGUUAUGUUGCGAGCAAAAAGGGUUCAAAGAGCGUAAUUUUAGAGAAAGAAAACAUCAUCGUUUUUAUGUUAUAUUAUACGCACAUUUCAGUUGUCUGCACAUUUUCAGUNAGACCUUCUCACCUGUUGCAAAGAUGAACACUGUCAGAGUGCUCCUCUCAAUUGCUGCUAAUAAGGACUGGGAUCUUCAUCAGUUCGAUGUUACAAAU